UUCCCUCCAUUGAUCACCAUAUCCUCUGAUCUCAUCUCAAUCUCAUGCCCCCUCCAAGCUCCAGGUUCUCCGAUCCGACCGCGACAUCGAUGGCAACGUGCCGAUGCCUGAUCUCUGCCUCCCCUCAGGCUCUCUAGGUCUCUCUCCACUCUCCAGGCUUGAGGCUCUCUCUCCCUCUCAGGCUCUCUCGGUCUCUCUCUAGGCUCCAUAGUCCAAAUUUAAUCAGUAGU
rnacentral:lncRNA from 1 species